rnacentral:rRNA from 1 species
AACGAACGCUGGCGGCAGGCUUAACACAUGCAAGUCGAGCGCCCCGCAAGGGGAGCGGCAGACGGGUGAGUAACGCGUGGGAAUCUACCCAUCUCUACGGAAUAACGCAUGGAAACGUGUGCUAAUACCGUAUACGUCCUUCGGGAGUAAGAUUUAUCGGAGAUGGAUGAGCCCGCGUUGGAUUAGCUAGUUGGUGGGGUAAAGGCCUACCAAGGCGACGAUCCAUAGCUGGUCUGAGAGGAUGAUCAGCCACACUGGGACUGAGACACGGCCCAGACUCCUACGGGAGGCAGUAGUGGGGAAUAUUGGACAAUGGGCGCAAGCCUGAUCCAGCCAUGCCGCGUGAGUGAUGAAGGCCCUAGGGUUGUAAAGCUCUUUCACCGGUGAAGAUAAUGACGGUAACCGGAGAAGAAGCCCCGGCUAACUUCGUGCCAGCCGCCGCGGUAAAAC